rnacentral:rRNA from 1 species
UACAGAGGUCCCAAGCGUUACUGAGAAUCACUGGGUUUAAAGCGCGUGUAGGCGGGCCGCCACGUCGGGCGCUGAAAUCCCCCGGCUCAACCGGGGAACGGGCACCGAUACGAGCGGCCUGGAGGGGAGUAGGGGGACCUGGAACUUCCGGUGGAGCGGUGAAAUGCGUUGAGAUCGGAAGGAACGCCCGUGGCGAAAGCGAGGUCCUGGGCUCCUGCUGACGCUGAGACGCGAAAGCCAGGGGAGCGAACGGG